CAACCUGCCCUUUACUCGGGGAUAGCCUUUCGAAAGAAAGAUUAAUACCCGAUGGCAUAAUGAUUCCGCAUGGUUUCAUUAUUAAAGGAUUCCGGUAAAGGAUGGGGAUGCGUUCCAUUAGGUUGUUGGUGAGGUAACGGCCCACCAAGCCUUCGAUGGAUAGGGGUUCUGAGAGGAAGGUCCCCCACAUUGGAACUGAGACACGGUCCAAACUCCUACGGGAGGCAGCAGUGAGGAAUAUUGGUCAAUGGGCGCUAGCCUGAACCAGCCAAGUAGCGUGAAGGAUGAAGGCUCUAUGGGUCGUAAACUUCUUUUAUAUAAGAAUAAAGUGCAGUAUGUAUACUGUUUUGUAUGUAUUAUAUGAAUAAGGAUCGGCUAACUCCGUGCCAGCAGCCGCGGUAAUACGGAGGAUCCGAGCGUUAUCCGGAUUUAUUGGGUUUAAAGGGAGCGUAGGUGGACUGGUAAGUCAGUUGUGAAAGUUUGCGGCUCAACCGUAAAAUUGCAGUUGAUACUGUCAGUCUUGAGUACAGUAGAGGUGGGCGGAAUUCGUGGUGUAGCGGUGAAAUGCUUAGAUAUCACGAAGAACUCCGAUUG
rnacentral:rRNA from 1 species